rnacentral:lncRNA from 1 species
CGGGGUUUCACCGUGUUAGCCAGGAUGGUCUCUAUCUCUUGACCUCGUGAUCCGCCCACCUCCGCCUCCCAAAGCGCUGGGAUUACAGGCGUGAGCCACCGCGCCUGGCCCAGAAAAUCUUUCUAAGGCAUCAAUGAAAUUUUCAAUGUUAAUGAAAAGAAACUUUGUCCAGGAGUUGCAGUGUCCUUUGAGUUUCAGAAAAUCCAAGAAAAAA